rnacentral:rRNA from 1 species
GAACGGUAGCAGGAGAAAGCUUGCUUUCUUGCUGACGAGUGGCGGACGGGUGAGUAAUGCUUGGGAAUCUGGCUUAUGGAGGGGGAUAACUACGGGAAACUGUAGCUAAUACCGCGUAGUAUCGAGAGAUGAAAGUGCGGGACCGCAAGGCCGCAUGCCAUAAGAUGAGCCCAAGUGGGAUUAGGUAGUUGGUGGGGUAAAGGCCUACCAAGCCUGCGAUCUCUAGCUGGUCUGAGAGGAUGGCCAGCCACACUGGAACUGAGACACGGUCCAGACUC